rnacentral:rRNA from 1 species
GACGAACGCUGGCGGCGCGCUUAACACAUGCAAGUCGAACGGAAAGGCCUGCUUUCCCUUGUGGAUUGCGGGUACUCGAGUGGCGAACGGGUGAGUAACACGUGAGUGAUCUGCCCCCAACUUGGGUAUAAGCCUGGGAAACUGGGUCUAAUUCCCGAUAGGACUGCAGGGUGGUGCCUGUGGUGGAAAACGAUUUUCUAGUGGUUGGGGAUGGGCUCGCGGCCUAUCAGCUUGUUGGUGGGGUAAUGGCCUACCAAGGCGGCGACGGGUAGCCGGCCUGAGAGGGUGGACGGCCACAUUGGGACUGAGAUACGGCCCAGACUCCUACGGGAGGCAGCAGUGGGGAAGAGUGCACAAUGGGCGGAAGCCUGAUGCAGCGACGCCGCGUGGGGGAUGACGGCCUUCGGGUUGUAAACUCCUUUCGACCGCGAGGAAGCCACCUGGUUGGAAGGGUGGUGACGGUAGUGGUAGAAGAAGCACCGGCUAACUACGUG